rnacentral:rRNA from 1 species
UACGGAGGGGGCUAGCGUUGUUCGGAAUUACUGGGCGUAAAGCGCACGUAGGCGGCUUUGCAAGUCAGAGGUGAAAGCCCGGGGCUCAACCCCCGGAAUUGCCUUUGAGACUGCAUCGCUAGAAUUGUGGAGAGGUAAGUGGAAUUCCGAGUGUAGAGGUGAAAUUCGUAGAUAUUCGGAAGAACACCAGUGGCGAAGGCGACUUACUGGACACAUAUUGACGCUGAGGUGCGAAAGCGUGGGGAGCAAACAGG